ensembl:lncRNA
CGCGUGCCCCUGGACGCCCCUGCGUGUCUCUUUCUCCGUGGGUCCUCUUCAGGUCCCCAACUGAGUCUCAUCGGACCGGGCUGACUCUCUACCCUUCGAGUUUGUCUUUGGCUUGCCGAUGUUUCAGGACAUCUGAGAUUUGUGAUUGCCGGCGUGUUUCUUUACCUUUCUCUUCCUUGGUGUUUGCUAUAAAAUAAAGGGUGUCUCUUGCUCAAGUUCCUCUGUCCCUGUCUCUAUGUUUCUCUAUCUCUCUCUCCCUGUCCCCCCCCCCCUCCAUUGUUCCUCCCUUCCCUCGCUGGGUGCACUUGAAACAUUCUUAUGUCUUUCUGUAGAUAACCUGUUUGUGUCCAUGUUCCUGGGUUCAUUUUAAGAUCUUAUGUUCCAGUUUGUAUGAUCUUUCUCUGUUUUUUGCAGAGAGAGAGAGAGAGAGAGAGAGAGAGAGAGAGAGAGAGAGAGAGAGAGAGAGAGAACUUAAGAAUGAACACUGAACACACACACACAAACACACACACAGACACACACAGACACACACACACAUCCUUUACCUAGAGACAGGAACUUUGGAUACUCUAUCCAUCCAUAGGCUCCCUCCCCAAAUCCGUUCCUUGCUCCGGGAGGUACCAUAGUUUUAUGUGUGUUCAGGAGAAUUAACAAGCUAUUUGGCUGUUUUUCUUUCAGGAAUGCUGAAUACUGAUCCCUGUGCCCACGGCUGCUGCACUGACCCUGGCAGAAGAGGCUAAGCAGUUGUUUGGAAGGCCCUGUAGAAUAAAACAUGGCUGAGGGGGAAUGGCCUCCUCUCUGAUAGUCCUGAAGCAAUGCAGUGUUCAAAAAAAUGCCCUAGUUCCGUCAUGCUCUUUUGAAGGAUUAAACUUUAAAGAGUUUAGCUAGCUUAGACACACUCUCAAUUAUGCUGAAGUAUACAGGAAAUAAUAAGAAAUGCCAAGAGUAGGAUUCGGCCAUAUAAGGGCAGGCCAGCAUGCUUCCCAAACCCAGCAAAGGCAUAAGAACAAGGAGUGAAGCGAAUCAGAAACUUACAGCUGGUCAAAUAGUUCCUUCUAAACUGGGGGAGAGAACUUAAGGAAUCAGAAAGUCCAAUGUGGACAGGGAGCUAGCUGGGCUUACACAUUGCUGCCCCGUGGCUUUCCUCAGUGAAAGCUCACUUUCUCUGUUUUUCUCUUCAUCUGGCUCUCACAGCCUGACCUCCUCGUGUGUGCUGAUUCUGAGCUGGCAGCAUUGUUGCUCUCUAAGUCUCUAACCUCUUUUCUCUGAGCUCCAGCUCCUGUCACUAUUAAGCAGGGGAAUGUUGGCCCUGUGUUCCCACAGGUAGUAAGGUUGAACUGAUUCCUGAGACAGUUUGCUUCUCCUUGACCCUGCUCCUAUCUUCGGGUACUCGUGAAUAGAAGACUAGUCUAGCUAUUCUCACCUUUCAGAGACCAAGACUCACUGUUUAUCAUUUUCUUUUACAUUACUUGGUGCCUGGACUUUGGAGUUAGGGUUGUCACUCUGUAGUGAAAUGAAGAGACUUUAUUUGGGCUCAUAUGUCCUCUAAAACUCUUAGCUAUGAGAGAGAAUGAACGGUGGGAAGAGGAUGGGAUAUAAGUUCAGACAGAUGUAGACUUGAAUCCUUGAAUUUUCCCUGUCACUUAUUUAACAUGAUGAUGUAGGGAUGUUAAAUCUCGGGUGCUUUACUUCAGUGUUCCUAUGAGAUCUUUCCUGCUGUCACUAAUAUGGUACUUCACUGGUUGCUGAGGUGACUCAAGAAGGGAUAAAGGGAAAUCACUUAUGCUAUGUGGGAAGAUUGUUGUAUUAGUCAGGGUUCUCUAGAGUUACAGAACUUGUAGAAUGUCUCUAUAUAUUAAGGGAAUUUAUUGUGAUGUCCUACAGUCUGUAGUCUAACUAAUGUACAGCUGUGGAUGGGACGUCCAAGAAUCUACUAGUUACUCAGUCACACGAGGCUAGGUAUUUGAGUUGCUCUGUUUUAAAAAAAUUUUAUUUAUUUUAUGUAUAUUGUACAUUGUAGCUGUCUUCAGAUGGUUGUGAGCCACCAUGUGGUUGCUGGGAAUUGAGCUCAGGACCUGUGGAAGAGUAGCCAGUGCUCUUAACCAUUGAGCCAUCUCUCCAGCCCUGAGUUGGUCUGCUGUAGAAGUAGAUUCCAACAGAUGUGCUGGCAGACGGGCCUCUGGAAGACUGUGAACAAGACCACGAUGUGACUAGAGUGGAAGUGAAGAAAAAGCCACUCUCCUUGGAAUAUGGAGAAUAGGUUGAAGAACAGCUGUCUUCAAGACAAGAGGACAACGAUGCUGGCAAGAAUGUGGGAAAUGUGGAAGCCCCUCAUAUAUUGUCAAUAUAGCUGCUGCAGAUAUCAGCAUGGACACUUUUGUAAGACUAAAAGUGAAACCACUAUAUGGCCCAACUGUACUUCCAGGCAACACCAGCAGGACUGAAAGGCAAUAUACCACAGAGAAAUUUACAUAACCAUGCUUUCUGCUGCGCUAGUCACAAUUGCUAAAAAAUAGAGCUCUCCUAGAUGUCCAUCAAGAAAUCAAUGGACAGGAGCUGGAGAGAUGGCUCUGUUUAAGAGCACUGGAUGCUCUUCCAGAGAGCCUAGGUUAAAAUCUGGAAUUGAAGUUCCAGGGCAUCUGGACUCCACAUGCUCAAGGCAUACAUGUGUUCCUUGAACAUACGUGCAGGCAAAACAUAUAUACAUAUGAAAUAAACAAAGAGUAAAUAAAAAAGAAUGAAUGUAUAGCAAAUUUUAAAAAGCGUACAUAUACACACCAGAACUUUAUUCAGUUAUGGAGGAAAAUGAAAUGGUGUCAUUUGCAGGAAAAUAGAUGGAACUGAAGAUCAUAUUAAGCAAGAUAAGCCAGACUUAGAAAGACAAAUGCUACAUGUUUUCUCUUGCGUUCAGAAUCCAGAUUUAAAUGUGUGUGUUGGGGACUAGAGGGACCAUGGCAGGGGAGGAAGUGAAGAAAGGGCAAAAGGAGAAACCCUUGGUCCUGCCAAGGCUCAACCCUCAGUGUGGGG